AACAAUUCAAUCGGAUGCACCCCCUUCAUUUGAUGGGAAAGACAAACCAACCCUAGCAGAAGAUUGGGUUCAAGAUAUUGAGGAGAUAUUUCGGAUCUUGACUAUU